rnacentral:tRNA from 1 species
GGUGGUAUAGCUCAAUGGUAGAGUACAUGCUUAGCAUGUAUGAGGCCCUGGUACCUCCA